UCUCUCCGUCGGUGAACCGAGUGAGGGACACGUGCAGCUUCCCUGUGGCGGCCUUGUAGGAGUCCUCGGGCAGCACGUUGUACAGAAACUGCCUCAUCAUCUGCACCAUCUUGCAGGACGGAGACAAGGGUCCCAGGAAGGAUUUCUUCACCUCGGCCACACCUACAUUGAGGACUCUAAGCACCUUCUCCCAUUCAACGGCCUCCUUCCAAGCUUCAGGCUGCUCUGGGCUCCGAGACACAGUAUCCCACACUGACCACAGCAAGAUGGGAGGGCCUCUUGCGAAGUGAAAAAUCCUAGGAAGAUGGGCACGUGGCAGCUGACAACUUAAACUGCUGGGGAAUCUCCUUCACACGGUGCCCGGAUGGGGUCUGCGGCGCGGGAUGGAUCUGCGGUGGAGGAUGAGACCGCGAGGCCCCCAGUCUCCCGCGGACUGGUAGCCUAGCAACAACCUCCGGCUCAGCCAAUCACGGCCAGGCGUCUCCCCGCCCUUCCCCCCCGCCGCCGGCCUUAGUCCCCUGCAGCGGAGCGGUUAAGCAGGGGGGAAGCGGGCGGCGCAGCAGCCCCAGGGGAGGCGGCAGUGAGCAGAGCUGCGUUCCCAGGAAAAGCCCUGCAAUUCUCUGAGUCCCUGUGUGGAGCACCUGGGAGAGUGGUGCUCCUACCUGGUCCCUAAUUGGAGGCUGAAUUAUAGGCUGCGUAUCCCUGUGGGUGUAUUCUUGACUGCCCGA